UCCCCGUUAUCCGAGGCAGUUUCCUAAGAGUGCUGUCCUUUACGGACGUGGCAACAUAGGAUAAGGGUUGCGCUCGUUGCGGGACUUAACCCAACAUCUCACGACACGAGCUGACGACAGCCAUGCAGCACCUCUGCUAACUCCUGACUUUACAGGUCAUCCCAGCUUUCAUCGGUUUUACUUUCAGUAGUUCAAACCCAGGUAAGGUUCUUCGCGUUGCGUCGAAUUGAAAACCACAUGCUCCACCGCUUGUGCGGGCCCCCGUCAAUUCCUUUGAGUUUCAAUCUUGCGAUCGUACUUCCCAGGUGGGAUACUUAAUGCUUUCGCUCAGACACACACUGUGUAUCGCGUAUGUCGAGUAUCCAUCGUUUAGGGCGUGGACUAC
rnacentral:misc_RNA from 1 species